CGGGGCUGCUAUUCUUGACAAUUUAGUAAAAAAUCAUGGUUAGGUCAGGAAAGUAAAUUACAAAUCUGUGCUCAUUCUUCUAACAAAGGGGACAAAAUUAUUCCAGUUUUCAACAGCAAAAAUUUUAUCAUUCAAUCUGAAAUAAGUAAAUGACCUUACAGCCUCUGCCUGUGGAUGAUAGCAGUUCGCAAGUAUUUGCCUUAGUCCUUUCUGAUCAAACCGUUCACUAGUAUUUCUUCCAAUCAGAUUUAUCCUUUUCUUUGAAAUGGUUCUUAUCUGC
rnacentral:misc_RNA from 1 species